UCGUUCAAAUUACAGUGGAAACACCAGAUCCCAUCUGAACUCUGAAGUUAAGCACUGAUAGGCUUGAAUAGUACUGAGAUGGGCGACCACUCGGGAAUGGCAAGUAAUGAUUUG